ACCUGACUGGCUCAGUCAGUAGAGCAUGCAAGUUUUGAUCUUGGGGUCAUGAGUUCAAGUCCCAUGUUGGGCA
rnacentral:tRNA from 1 species